rnacentral:misc_RNA from 1 species
GUGAAUCAUCAAAUUUUUGAACGCAAAUUGCGCUUCCUGGUCUCCCGUGAAGUAUGUCUGUUUGAGGGUCAGUAUUAACUAAAAAUCGGCUUGGUUGCAAAUUGUGACGUUUCCGGAGUUUGGUCUUAUCUUACCUUUUUUGGUUAAGGUGAUUACAAUUGACCUUGUUUGCGCAUUUUUAGACGUAUAUAAAUUUUUUUUUAUUCGUCUAUUUUUAAUGCCAAAAUCUUAUUAGAUGCGAUCACAUCGUGUGGAUUCGUGUCCAUAAACUUUUCAUGAUUUGA